CUUCGUGCCAGCAGCCGCGGUAAUACGUAGGGGGCCAGCGUUGCUCGGAAUUACUGGGCGUAAAGGGUCCGUAGGCGGUGUGGCAAGUCGGGAGUGAAAUCUCUGGGCUUAACUCAGAGGCUGCUUCCGAAACUGCCGUGCUAGAGUGUGAGAGAGGCGAGUGGAAUUGCGGGUGUAGCGGUGAAAUGCGUAGAUAUCCGCAGGAACAUCCGAGGCGAAAGCGGCUCGCUGGAUCACAACUGACGCUGAGGGACGAAAGCUAGGGGAGCAAACAGGAUUAGAUACCCUGGUAGUCCUAGCCCUAAACCAUCAGGACUUGGGGUUUGCCCUGUACGGGGCAAGUCCCGUAGCUAACGCGUUAAGUCCUGCGCCUGGGGAGUACGGUCGCAAGACUGAAACUCAAAGGAAUUGACGGGGGCCCGCACAAGCGGUGGAACAUGUGGUUCAAUUCGACGCAACGCGAAGAACCUUACCUGGGCUUGAACCGCACAGGACCAUCUUUGGAAACAGAGACUUCCCGCAAGGGACCUGUGUAGAGGUGCUGCAUGGCUGUCGUCAGCUCGUGCCGUGAGGUGUUGGGUUAAGUCCCGCAACGAGCGCAACCCUUACUCUUAGUUGCCACCCGCAAGGGGGAACUCUAAGAGGACUGCUCCGGAUAACGGAGAGGAAGGUGGGGAUGAGGUCAAGUCAGCAUGGCCUUUAUGUCCAGGGCAACACACGUGUUACAAUGCGCGCCACAAAGCGUUGCAAACCCGCGAGGGGGAGCUAAUCGCAAAAAAGCGCGCUCAGUUCGGAUUGCAGUCUGCAACUCGACUGCAUGAAGCCGGAAUCGCUAGUAAUGGCGCAUCAGAACGGCGCCGUGAAUACGUUCCCGGGCCUUGUACACACCGCCCGUCACAUCACGAAAGUGGGCUGUACUAGAAAUCACCGUGCCAACCGUAAGGAGGCAGGUGCUCAAGGUAUGACUCAUGAUUGGGGUGAAGUCGUAACAAGGUAACC
rnacentral:rRNA from 1 species